CAGGAUUCGAUUAUGCAACUAUUAACUGCGUUAUCUUUCUGCAACCUUCAAGGUUGCUGGAGAACAGAUAACCUGCUGAGAUCCAUG